AGUGAACGCUGGCGGUAGGCCUAACACAUGCAAGUCGAACGGCAGCACAGGAGAGCUUGCUCUCUGGGUGGCGAGUGGCGGCCGGGUGAGGAAUACAUCGGAAUCUACCUUUUCGUGGGGGAUAACGUAGGUAAACUUACGCUAAUACCGCAUACGACCUACGGGUGAAAGUGGGGGACCGCAAGGCCUCACGCGAUUAGCUGAGCCGCUGUUCGAUUAGCUAGUUGGCGGGGUAAUGGCCCCCCAAGGCGCCGAUCGGUAGCUGGUCUGAGAGGAUGAUCAGCCACACUGGGACUGAGGAACGGUCCAGACUCCUACGGGAGGCAGCAGGGGGGAAUAGUGGACAAUGGGCGCAAGCCUGAUCCAGCCAUACCGCGUGGGUGAAGAAGGCCUUCGGGUUGUAAAGCCCUUUUGUUGGGAAAGAAAUCCUGUCGAUUAAUACUCGGUGGGGAUGACGGUACCCAAAGAAUAAGCACCGGCUAACUUCGUGCCAGCAGCCGCGGUAAGAC
rnacentral:rRNA from 1 species